UCAUUGGAUCUCUUCCAAUCCCGUUUCCUACAACUGAAACCUUUCAGCAAUCUCAGAGAUGUUAUGCUGUGUAAGACACAUGUUCAAGCCAGAAGACGUGCACAUAAAUGCCAUGAAUGAGUUCCUCAAGAAGUAUAAAGUCCAAAUCUUGCCAAGAGAUUCAACAGGACACCUCUUUCUAUACCCAGAUGUACCAACUGGUGCUGCUGGUACCUGGGGAGUGGCAUUAUGUCAGCUCUCCCGUCCCUCCUGCUCGCCAGAGAUGGAGAACAUCCAGAAUGAAGAGGGAUGGUUCUCUCCACAACAGGUGUAAGCAAAGAGGAAAGUCAGAGGGAACAGGAAAUGAGGAAUAUUUUCAGGGCCACUUCUUUUAAGGCCUUUUUCACCCUCCUGACUUUGACACACUUCCCAGUGAGGAAAAAGAAACUCCUUCAGGCCAAACUAGCUCUAAGCUUAUCUCCAGCUCUCACUAGAACUGCCCUUUCACUAAUGCUGCUCAGAAGGUCAAAGUUUCUUCCAUAAAGCAAGGUGAGCGCAUUGGAUGUGUUCAGGGCCACAGGAGCAAGGUGUGUGAGGGGAGCAAUGGCUGUGUUUCAUCAGCAGAGAUAGCAGCGUGGUGUUCAGGCACUUCUCCAAGGACCUGGGGAGAGUUGUGGCUUUCCCCCUUCAUUCAAAGCUCCCUCAUUUUUUAUCCUCCUUGGAAAAAUAUUUUUUAAUGUAAAUCCUUUUCUUGACAUGCCAGCUCUUCUACUCUUCAUUCAUGCCACAUCAGGAAUAUCAGCCCAGAGCAGGAUUCGACUCCCAUUACUACUAAAGGACAGUAUUAUGCAGCCAGAUCUUGGAGCAGACCUGUGAAGCCAUGCAGCCCUUCCUGCACGCCUCUUUCAUAUCUAUUCUCUGUUCUCAAAAGUCCUGUGAUGCCCUAGACUGGGAUCCUGAAAGCUCUUGCAUUACCUAUGUUCCUUGUAACGUCCUCCAGUUCAGUUUCCACUAAAAACACAGGCUCUACUGGUGCGCAGCAUAUCAACAGAAUGUGUUGUUGGCACACUUUGUCAACGUGGCACUUCCAAUGGAGCAGCAGACACCGCUUUCGCCACGCAUCAACCCGUGCUAUGCUGACGUCCUCAGCAGUCACUUCCACCACAACCAAACACCUGUGGAUUGAGCCAACCAGCAGAACACACCUGGAGUUAAACAGGAAAAAAAGCCCAGCCCACAAAAUUCUGCAACCCUGCAAGGUGUUCACGUACAAGCUGGGCAAUGGUAGCAUGCCAAGAUGACUACUACAAAGGUACAACUUCCUUAGCUACAUAAUGUAGUCCUAAUACACAGUCCUCAUGCCUUGCUCUGGUGUUAAUCAUUAAUCAACCCAACAAUGGUUGGUGAAUUUCCGUGUUAAAACUUUUUGUCAUUUCUGACUUACUCAUCGGCACUGUGUGAUGGAAAUGGGAGGUUUUGUGGGGCAGAAAAGAAGAUCUAACACUCUAGAAGACAAAAAAUGUGAAAUAAUCUCCAAGACCACCCAUUAAAAUAACAGCAGUCUGCUUGGUUUGCCUAAGAGCUGCCACUAAUGGGAUGCAGAGCAAAAGGAGGAACCUUUGUGUUUUCUUCUACCCAAUAGUGCAUCUAUUUCACCUCUUUUCCUCCUUAGUACCAUUGGAGAGUCUUCACAUGGGAAGCAAGUUUCAAAAGUGAAUUAUAGAGAACAAAUUCAAAGGAAAUAUAUGCUUCAUAAAAAUGUGGGGAUUUUGUGGCUGCAUUGGCAGUCAGAGGGCCAACAUCAAACUCAAAGCGAUGUAUAUCCAUAAUACCAGAAACAGCUAAAGAGGUUACACAGUUCUUAUCAUCCUAAAUCUGAGACCCAAAAAUUAACUGUAGCUAUAUCAUGGCUUUAAUACCUGGGGUAGCUGCUACUGUAGAAGUUUAAUAGCAAGAAAUAGCAACGAGUUAGGAAAAUGAUUUGAUAAAAACUGGCUGAAAUGGUUCACUGCAGUUUUGUGUGAUAUUCUGAUAAAUGCAUUUGGGUCUUCACUUUAGCAUGCGCCAACCUGUCUGCAGGACAGAGAGAACAUUCACAGUUCUUCUUCUAUACCACAGGAGCUGCCAGGAAUUGACCGUGGUUGGAAUGCACACCACAGCCAUCUGCUUCAGCCAACACGGUGCUCACAGUGAGCAGCUAUGGGGCCAGAGCCCCCAGAAGGCACAGCCCAAAUUUCGGAAGAAUUAGGGAUUCCGUGACCAGCUCAACAUAUAAAAUCCCACGCAUUUUUUCCUAUCUAGUUCACAAAAUACAAAUAGGUUGUUAGGAACCUACUUCUGCCACACGGUACUAAUAAGCUAACAGAUUUCAGCUCAUUUUUCCUGUCUGCUUUAGAGAGACUUACUUAGUUCCUAUAGAGUACAUGCGUUAUUUGCAUUUACCAAAAAAUGGUGCGAGCCAUCGCAGCAGCUCGCUGCUUACAUUGCCAUUGCAACAAGCGAUUGCUAAGAGUUAGGAGAACUUCUUGUUCUGCAGAAGACAGCGCCUUUCUUUAGCGCACGCAAGGCAACGUGGUGACAGCACAAAAUUAAAUGCUUUGUCUCGAGAGAACAGCGCUGACUUAUAACAGCAGAAGCAGGACAAGGCUGAGAUGUAUCAUCGAAAAUAAAUAUAUCUCCAAGGCGAUUAAUCUACUGUGUAUCCGAUAUACUGAGAAACAAAUCCUCCCUCCUUCUCCCCUGGAUAGUAUUUUCCAGGUGGGCCCAAGCACUUUGGUCAUACCCAGGAUCUUUCGGAAGCAACAGGUCACGGAGAGAAGGGACGAGAAAGGUGGGAGAGGAAGGGAAGCACGGAGGAAGGCGGUUGGAGCCUUACCGUUGUGAAACAGCCGGGAGCAAAACGCAAAGCAACGCAACGCGGUCCAAAGGAGAACCCAAAACAAAAAUCCAAACCAGCACCGAAAAACCCCAAAUGCCCCAUCUCGUUUUUCUGAGCCCUCAAUAGAGUGCUUUCUCCAGCUAUGCGGUACCCAUGAAAUAUAAAACCACCCUAAUGGUCGCCCAGGUUACCGACUUCAUUUAGUUAAUCAUCACCACUAUUACCAAUGUUCAGGCCUUGAGAAAAAAAGGAAAGAAUGACUGAAGAGGAGUGGAAAACAAGAAACUUAAGUGAGUCCCACCCCCUUUUAUUUUGUAUUACUUUACACAUCGGGAGCAAUUAGGUUUAUACCUGCUUUACCUUGAUUUCUCCUCCCCUUUUCUGCUCCCUACCGCCUCCCGCACUUGCUUCUCAAAGUUCCCCCAGCCCUAAAACAAUGGGGUAUCCAUUAAUCGGGUAUCAGAUAUGCCAGGGGGGACACGGAGGUGCCCGGCUUUGCCCGGGCAGCUGCAGGUCUGGAAAGGAAUGCAGCUCCAGUGGGGGGAAAAAUUACUUGUUGGUUAACCUGCAGGGUGAGCCUUAAUCAAUAGGCACGGACGAUGAAAAGAACAAAGCAUGUGAAACUUAAGCCUUUAUAUCUUGAGCUCCAUCAGAUAAAAGCUGUACCUGGAGCUGGAAAGGACAGCCAGGCUUAGCUGGGAGCUUAAACGCAUCAGCGCGAUCCAGGUUGUUUCAGGAGUUCACUUGGCUUAUUGACUGCCGUUCCCUUCUGCCACCACCAAAGAUUAAAACACAAAAGUAAGCCUCUAAUGCCGACUUAUCAGACUCUUAACGACAGAGCCCUCAAAAGAAAAACUAAUUAAUGCGAAAUGCGCGUCCCGAUCGUGACGUGUGAUUUCCUCAGGCCACUUUCCCCUGCCCGAAAUAUGAUUAAGGACAGGAAGAAAGCCCUGUUUCCUACGUGUGCAAACCUCCACACAAAAGGGGAAGCCUAGCAGAGUUCUUACAGUUCUAUGGCUAUCUCAUGGGAGCGACUUCCAAAGGCUACCAUCAGCUGCUGGAUGGUAUCCGUGGAGCCCAGCCCUUUGGUUCUUGGAGCCCACUCAGUUUUAAUUGGGAUGAAAAAGGCUUGCCUGAAAGCUGCUAUUUUUCCUGCAGGACACGGUUCCUUUGGACAGGAGGUCGCAUGCUGCUGCCCUUCAGUCCCAACACGCUGCUGCUGGCAGCACAGACAGACCUGUGGUGCUUGGGGUGCAAUUGCCGUCUGCGUGUCUGGGCAGACCGCGCUCAGCUGCGGCUGUGCAGUGUGAACCCAGGGGAAGUGCGAGGGGAAGAGAAACUUCCUUUCCCUUGCUGUCAGCUUGCUAACACCCAACAGGACAAGGAGAGAUUUUCACUGGACCCUACUGGGAACGUUUGGUGCUGUCUGGCAGCUGUUUGGGUGAUGGAGAGACUCUGAAUUUCCUGCUUUACCUUCCAGCUCCGAACAAAGCGCUCUCUAUGUAAAGGGAGCCUCGCUGCCGGCGAAGCAGCUAGUUCCAACACGUCCCUUUCCCUCCUGGCACCCUCCACGUAGCCCCCACAGAAGGGGCAGGGAGUGCAGUUCCCAGCACACCUGAGUCACCCCUCGCCGAGCGCCGGCAGGAAGGGGUGGUGGCAGCUGGGAAGCUCCCGUGAGUCACCGACCAACAGCCGCACGGAGAGGAACUUGGCACCGUGCUCUGCGCUCUUACUCCUCCCGUCGGACUUCUUGCUGAAGGCUGGCCGCUGGGGGAGGAAAGGAUCAUUACAGUGAAAGCUAGUGCAGUAAAGGAAAGGAGGAAGAGUAGGAGCAAAAACGCCUUCUUGCCACCCAGCUGCACGAAAUCAGAUUUUGGCAGUUCUCCUCAAGCUGUUUUAUGGUUCCCAGC
ensembl:lncRNA